rnacentral:rRNA from 1 species
CUAUGGACUCCUACGGGAGGCAGCAGUAGGGAAUAUUGGUCAAUGGGUGAGAGCCUGAACCAGCCAUGCCGCGUGCAGGAAGACGGCCUUCUGGGUUGUAAACUGCUUUUACCAGGGGAUAAAAAGACCUUGCGAGGUUAAUUGAAGGUACCUGGAGAAUAAGCACCGGCUAACUACGUGCCAGCAGCCGCGGUAAUACGUAGGGUGCAAGCGUUGUCCGGAUUUAUUGGGUUUAAAGGGUGCGUAGGCGGGCUAUUAAGUCAGUGGUGAAAUCCAGCAGCUUAACUGUUGAUGUGCCAUUGAUACUGGUAGCCUUGAGUACAGAUGAGGUAGGCGGAAUUGACAGUGUAGCGGUGAAAUGCAUAGAUAUUGUCAAGAACUCCGAUAGCGAAGGCAGCUUACUGGGCUGUAACUGACGCUGAUGCACGAAAGUGUGGGGAUCAAACAGGAUUAGAUACCCUGGUAG